UCGCUUUGGCAGCGCAUAUACUAAAAUUGGAAUGAUACAGAGAAGAUUAGCAUGGCCCCUGCGCAAAUUCAUGCAAAUUCGUGAAACAUUCCAUAUUUAA
ensembl:snRNA U6 U6 spliceosomal RNA